UACAGAGGUCUCAAGCGUUGUUCGGAUUCAUUGGGCGUAAAGGGUGCGUAGGCGGCGCGGUAAGUCGGGUGUGAAAUCUCGGGGCUUAACUCCGAAACUGCAUUCGAUACUGGCGUGCUUGAGGACUGGAGAGGAGACUGGAAUUCAUGGUGUAGCAGUGAAAUGCGUAGAGAUCAUGAGGAAGACCAGUGGCGAAGGCGGGUCUCUGGACAGUUACUGACACUGAGGCACGAAGGCCAGGGGAGCAAACGGG
rnacentral:rRNA from 1 species